ACAUGCAAGUCGAGCGGUAGCACAGAGAGCUUGCUCUCGGGUGACGAGCGGCGGACGGGUGAGUAAUGUCUGGGAAACUGCCUGAUGGAGGGGGAUAACUACUGGAAACGGUAGCUAAUACCGCAUAAUGUCGCAAGACCAAAGUGGGGGACCUUCGGGCCUCAUGCCAUCAGAUGUGCCCAGAUGGGAUUAGCUGGUAGGUGGGGUAACGGCUCACCUAGGCGACGAUCCCUAGCUGGUCUGAGAGGAUGACCAGCCACACUGGAACUGAGACACGGUCCAGACUCCUACGGGAGGCAGCAGUGGGGAAUAUUGCACAAUGGGCGCAAGCCUGAUGCAGCCAUGCCGCGUGUGUGAAGAAGGCCUUCGGGUUGUAAAGCACUUUCAGCGGGGAGGAAGGCGGUGAGGUUAAUAACCUCAUCGAUUGACGUUACCCGCAGAAGAAGCACCGGCUAACUCCGUGCCAGCAGCCGCGGUAAUACGGAGGGUGCAAGCGUUAAUCGGAAUUACUGGGCGUAAAGCGCACGCAGGCGGUCUGUCAAGUCGGAUGUGAAAUCCCCGGGCUCAACCUGGGAACUGCAUUCGAAACUGGCAGGCUAGAGUCUUGUAGAGGGGGGUAGAAUUCCAGGUGUAGCGGUGAAAUGCGUAGAGAUCUGGAGGAAUACCGGUGGCGAAGGCGGCCCCCUGGACAAAGACUGACGCUCAGGUGCGAAAGCGUGGGGAGCAAACAGGAUUAGAUACCCUGGUAGUCCACGCUGUAAACGAUGUCGAUUUGGAGGUUGUGCCCUUGAGGCGUGGCUUCCGGAGCUAACGCGUUAAAUCGACCGCCUGGGGAGUACGGCCGCAAGGUUAAAACUCAAAUGAAUUGACGGGGGCCCGCACAAGCGGUGGAGCAUGUGGUUUAAUUCGAUGCAACGCGAAGAACCUUACCUGGUCUUGACAUCCACAGAACUUUCCAGAGAUGGAUUGGUGCCUUCGGGAACUGUGAGACAGGUGCUGCAUGGCUGUCGUCAGCUCGUGUUGUGAAAUGUUGGGUUAAGUCCCGCAACGAGCGCAACCCUUAUCCUUUGUUGCCAGCGGUCCGGCCGGGAACUCAAAGGAGACUGCCAGUGAUAAACUGGAGGAAGGUGGGGAUGACGUCAAGUCAUCAUGGCCCUUACGACCAGGGCUACACACGUGCUACAAUGGCAUAUACAAAGAGAAGCGACCUCGCGAGAGCAAGCGGACCUCAUAAAGUAUGUCGUAGUCCGGAUUGGAGUCUGCAACUCGACUCCAUGAAGUCGGAAUCGCUAGUAAUCGUAGAUCAGAAUGCUACGGUGAAUACGUUCCCGGGCCUUGUACACACCGCCCGUCACACCAUGGGAGUGGGUUGCAAAAGAAGUAGGUAGCUUAACCUUCGGGAGGGCGCUUAC
rnacentral:rRNA from 1 species